rnacentral:rRNA from 1 species
UGGAUCCAGACUUUGAUCCUGGCUCAGGACGAACGCUGGCGGCGUGCCUAAUACAUGCAAGUCGAGCGAGCUUGCCUAGAUGAUUUUAGUGCUUGCACUAAAUGAAACUAGAUACAAGCGAGCGGCGGACGGGUGAGUAACACGUGGGUAACCUGCCCAAGAGACUGGGAUAACACCUGGAAACAGAUGCUAAUACCGGAUAACAACACUAGACGCAUGUCUAGAGUUUGAAAGAUGGUUCUGCUAUCACUCUUGGAUGGACCUGCGGUGCAUUAGCUAGUUGGUAAGGUAACGGCUUACCAAGGCAAUGAUGCAUAGCCGAGUUGAGAGACUGAUCGGCCACAUUGGGACUGAGACACGGCCCAAACUCCUACGGGAGGCAGCAGUAGGGAAUCUUCCACAAUGGACGAAAGUCUGAUGGAGCAACGCCGCGUGAGUGAAGAAGGGUUUCGGCUCGUAAAGCUCUGUUGGUAGUGAAGAAAGAUAGAGGUAGUAACUGGCCUUUAUUUGACGGUAAUUACUUAGAAAGUCACGGCUAACUACGCGCCAGCAGCCGCGGUAAUACGUAGGUGGCAAGCGUUGUCCGGAUUUAUUGGGCGUAAAGCGAGUGCAGGCGGUUCAAUAAGUCUGAUGUGAAAGCCUUCGGCUCAACCGGAGAAUUGCAUCAGAAACUGUUGAACUUGAGUGCAGAAGAGGAGAGUGGAACUCCAUGUGUAGCGGUGGAAUGCGUAGGUAUAUGGAAGAACACCAGUGGCGAAGGCGGCUCUCUGGUCUGCAACUGACGCUGAGGCUCGAAAGCAUGGGUAGCGAACAGGAUUAGAUACCCUGGUAGUCCAUGCCGUAAACGAUGAGUGCUAAGUGUUGGGAGGUUUCCGCCUCUCAGUGCUGCAGCUAACGCAUUAAGCACUCCGCCUGGGGAGUACGACCGCAAGGUUGCAACUCAAGGGAAUUGACGGAA